AUGAGAUGUCCUCAGUAUAAUCAGAAUGGUGGGAACACAAGGAAAUGUCCUUGUGCUACUUCAGUAUAAUCAGAAUAAUGGAAACACAAGGCAAUAUCCUUGUGCUGCUUUUGCGCUCAAGGACGAAGCACGGCAUGUUUUCAAGAAAGCCCAUUGUUGCUUGUAUAAUCAAUAAAAGCAUAUGUUGCUGCUUUGGCAUUUCUGGAAUGUUAAGAAAACAAGUCUUAAAAUGUAAACAUAGAUAAUGCUUAAAUAAAAGCUACCACAGCAGGACAGACAGCGCUGUUUUGCCUGAGCGAGAGGCAGCCCUCUACUGCUGUGUUUCGGCACAGUUCAUCUCGUGUGAUGAGCUUGCUUUCGGAAACCCUGUCAUAAGAAAAACUGCAACAUUUGGCGCCCGAACAGGGACCUGAAAGUCUUUUGUCUAGGUAUGCUUCUGAAAACAUAUUAAUUCCUCAGGAUUGGGAGGCACUUGCCAAGACUGUUCUUGAACCUGGACAAUAUAUGCAGUUUAAGACUUGAUGGGAAGAAGAAGGCGCCUCCAUUGACCUGGUGGCAAGUGAAAAAGUUUACAGACACUACCAAAAAUCUUAUCAUUUCACAGGGUAAACCCCUCAAUAGCACCAGUCUUUUUGAGGCCAUGCUGGCAGUGUUGUCUGCACAGUCCGACGACGAGUGAAAGCUACCCGCCAUGCAACCCCGCAACAAGCUGCUGUGUUCUCCUUGAUGCUGCACAAGCUGGAAAACAAAAAGGGAGAAAUGUAGUGGAAUAACUGAGGACAUGGAAAGGAGACGUGACCCAUGAGCCCCACCCACCCAGCAAACUGGGGGCUGGCGAAUAAGCCAGAACUGGAAACAGUCCUGAUUGCUUUGAGCCCCCUCGGCAAACUGGGGGCAUUCAAAUAAGCCAGAACUGCAAACAGUCCUGGAUGCUUUGAGCCUCCCCCCCACCCCCGGCAAACCGGGGGCCUGCGAAUAAGCAUUGAGUGUUUUGGGCACUGAUCCAUGAGAUGUCCUCAGUAUAAUCAGAAUGGUGGGAACACAAGGAAAUGUCCUUGUGCUACUUCAGUAUAAUCAGAAUAAUGGAAACACAAGGCAAUGUCCUUGUGCUGCUUUUGGGCUCAAGGACGAAGCACGGCAUGUUUUCAAGAAAGCCCAUUGUUGCUUGUAUAAUCAAUAAAAGCAUAUGUUGCUGCUUUGGCAUUUCUGGAAUGUUAAGAAAACAAGUCUUAAAAUGUAAACAUAGAUAAUGCUUAAAUAAAAGCUACCACAGCAGGACAGACUGUGCUGUAU